rnacentral:rRNA from 1 species
UGGGGAAUAUUGCUCAAUGGGCGCAAGCCUGAAGCAGCGACGCCGCGUGAGGGAUGAAGGCCUUCGGGUUGUAAACCUCUUUCAGCGCCGAAGAAGCGAAAGUGACGGUAGGCGCAGAAGAAGCACCGGCUAACUACGUGCCAGCAGCCGCGGUAAUACGUAGGGUGCAAGCGUUGUCCGGAAUCAUUGGGCGUAAAGAGCUCGUAGGCGGUCUGUCGCGUCUGCUGUGAAAACCUGGGGCUUAACCCCGGGCCUGCAGUGGGUACGGGCAGACUAGAGUGCGGUAGGGGAGACUGGAAUUCCUGGUGUAGCGGUGAGAUGCGCAGAUAUCAGGAGGAACACCGGUGGCGAAGGCGGGUCUCUGGGCCGUAACUGACGCUGAGGAGCGAAAGCAUGGGUAGCGAACAGG